CUCAAACCUAUCAAAGCCAUUCAUUAGUAGUGGUGGGGAGGAGGAGGUGAAGUGUAUAAGUAAUGAUGAGGUGGCGGUGGUGGCGGUGGGGAUUUGUAUUUGUAAGGGUGAUGUGGUGGUGGGUAGUGCGGUGGUGGUGGUGGUGGUGGGGAUUUGUAUUUGUAAGGGUGAUGCGGCGGUGGGUAGUGCACUGGUGGUGGUGGUGGUGGUGGUGAUGGUGGUGGUGGCGGUGGCGGUGGGGAUUUGUAUUUGUAAGGGUGAUGUGGUGGUGGGUAGUGCGGUGGUGGGUAGUGCACUGGUGGUGGUGGUGGUGGCGGUGGGGAUUUGUAUUUGUAAGGGUGAUGUGGUGGUGGGUAGUGCACUGGUGGUGGUGGUGUUUGUGGUGGUUGCUGUGGUUUUUUGUAUUUGUAAUUUAUUCGUGGUGGGUUGGUGAUUUGCGGUGGUGUGGUAGUUCACUUGUGGUGGUGCGGCGGCGGCGGGGACUUGUAUUUGUAAGGGUGAUGUGGUGGUGAGUAGUGCACGGGAGGCGGUGGUGGCGGGGGCGUGGACUUGUACUUGUAAGGUGUGCGUGGUGAGUAGUGCAUGGGUUGGCGGCGGCGGGGACCUUGUAUUUGUAAGGGUGAUGUGGUGUUAGUAGUGCACGGGUGGUGGCGGCGGCGCCGGCGGGGACUUGUAUUUGUAAGGGUGAUGUGUGGUUGAGUAGUGGCACGGGUGUGCGGUGGCGGCGGGGAUUUUGUAUUUGUAAGGUGAUGCGGUGGUGAGUAGUGCACGGGUGGUGGUGGUGGUGGUGGGGACUUAUAUUUGUAAGGGUGAUGCGGUGGUGAGUAGUGCACGGGUGGAGGCGGCGGCGGUGGGGACUUAUAUUUGUAAGGGUGAUGCGGUGGUAAGUAGUGCACUGGUGGCGGUGGUGGCGGUGAUUUGUAGUGAUAAGGAGGAGGUGGUGGUGGCGACUUGGGAGGUGGUGGAGGAGAUUUGUAGUAAUAAUUAGCAGUGGUUUCCAAUGGCAAAGUGAGAGACACUAUUGCCACUAGGAGAGUGGUGAUGAGAGAGGCCAUUUUAGGCCUCAUUCCUUUCGUUCCCAUCUUCACCACAAAAUCGAUUUUUGGUUAUGCUCUUAACCCUCCCUCUCCA
rnacentral:lncRNA from 1 species